CCUAUCAAUUAUACGGUGCGUGAGUUAAGUGGAUAUCACGACAACCAGAUGGCUCUGUUGACACACUGACAGAAUUGUCCAUUGUCCAACAACAUUGCUAGUUAGUGGCUGUGUGGUUAAAACAUAUGAUUCAACUGAUUUACUGUUGAUGAAAAAAACUUUAUGAUGGCUGGAGACCCGGUGGCAGAGAAAGCUGCUGCAUCUGUUCUCAAGCGGGCUGUGGAGCUAGAUACAGCAAAGAGAUUCACUGAAUCUCUAGUGUGCUACCAAGAAGGUUUGCAACUACUGAUGGAAGCCCUCAAAGCGAAAGGGCAAGAGGAUGGCAGGAGAGCUGAAUUGAGGAAGAGAGUAGUAGACUAUAUGGACAGGGCAGAAUUUCUGAAGAAGCAUGUCGAAAAUGAGAAAGAGGCUGGCAAAUACCACGAGAAAAUUGAAAUCACUGCCAACUCUGUUGGCUACAGCUAUCAAAAAGUCCUUGGGAGGUUCCUCGAUGAACAUGUAACCAGAGUGGAGAUUGAAGACCCCUACAUUCGUAGCAUUCACCAGGUGUAUAACUUAUUGAGGCUAAGCGAGCUCUUGGUGAGUAACUGCCGCAAUCUGAAAAGCAUCUUUCUACUGACGGGGAGAGAGCCCGGCAAUCAACAAGAAAUGUUGGACGAGCUGAAGCAAAGUCUAGCCAAACACAAAGUAGUGCUCACGGUUGAAUAUUCAACCACUCUACACGAUCGAGAAAUUCGCUUAGACAAUGGCUGGGUUAUCAAGAUCGGUCGAGGGUUGGACUAUUUCCGACCUCCCGAAGGCAAAUUCUCUCUGGGCUACUGUGACUUUGAUUUGAGACAAUGUCACGCCACGACCAUUGACAUUUUUCACAGUAGCACCGUUCGAUCGAUUCCCAAAUAAUAAGUGAUACAUUUUCAAAUACCUCAUAAUCAAGAUUAAGGGUUCAUUGAACCUCCAACAUUCUUUUGUGAUCGUAAAAAGAUUAUUAUGAUGCUGAAAGUGAUACCUUAAAGUCAGAUGCAAAAAGACUUUGACCUUUCGUCCGUCUUUUAUAAUGCCCUUUAGCUCCAGGAAUAUUUCCUUUGUUUUAAUCGAAAAGUACAAUGACUUGUCAAUCGUCGUUCGCGCAGCAGGAGAACUAAACAUCCGUUCCCCAAAUGCUGUGUGUGUCCACCCCUCCCCCUUUAUACCACAAGUAACUCGGAAAUAUUUUUUAAAGACAACA
rnacentral:misc_RNA from 1 species